rnacentral:rRNA from 1 species
CCUACGGGUGGCAGCAGUGAGGAAUAUUGGUCAAUGGGCGCGAGCCUGAACCAGCCAAGUAGCGUGAAGGAUGACUGCCCUACGGGUUGUAAACUUCUUUUAUAAAGGAAUAAAGUGAGGCACGUGUGCCUUUUUGUAUGUACUUUAUGAAUAAGGAUCGGCUAACUCCGUGCCAGCAACCGCGGUAAUACGGAGGAUCCGAACGGUAUCCGGAUUUCUUGGGGUUAAAGGGAGCGUAGAUGGGUUGUUAAGUCAGUUGUGAAAGUUUGCGGCUCAACCGUAAAAUUGCAAUUGAUACUGGCAGGCUUGAGUACAGUUGAGGUAGGCGGAAUGCGUGGUGUAGCGGUGAAAUGCAUAGAUAUCACGAAGAACUCCGAUUGCGAAGGCAGCUUACUAAACUGCCACUGACAUUGAUGCUCGAAAGUGUGGGUAUCAAACAGGAUUAGAUACCCUAGUAGUC